CUGUAUUUGAGUUCACGCGCUGUAUUAGAAUUUACUCAGACUGUAUUCACUAUUACACGUGCGUCAAAUUAUGCUGAGCGAAAAAUAUUCAUGCGAAAGGGUUUACUGCUGUGGUAAAAAUAAUGCAUGUGCGUGCAAACGUUUGCCACCGUACAAUAAAAUUCUGACAAUUUGGCUUAUUUCAAGCGUGGCGCUUAUCAUGUACCGACUCGAAAAUGCCAAACACGAAACCCCCUAUACGUGUAUAAAUAAAAAAAAAAGGAUUUUACGAACGAAUAAUAUAUAAGCCUGAGGUUCACGAUAUACGAUUUAAGUCGGUUAAUAUGCAAAUAUAAAAGCAGGUUUACACUGUCAAACGUUUCUGUGAUAACAGUAGGAAUUUUGCAUAGCCAUAGCCAUAGGUAAAUUCUAGGUUUUGAAGGAUUUGUAAGAAAUGUUUGAGGAAACUGACUCCUUGUUUAACAAUUACUCUGUUCCCUUAAAUAUUUCUUACAAAUCCUUCAAAACUUAGAAUUUAUUUAUGCAAAAUUCCUACUGUCAUCACAGAAACUUUGAUAGUGUAAAUUAAGCGCUAGUUCAAAAUUAUAACACCGUGGUCAUGACGAUAGGUCAAACAUAGUUUAAAUCAUGUUGUGGUUCUUACUAUAUGUAUGUCUGGUGACGUCAAUAGCCUUUUUAGUUCUCAUCACGAUAUCGUUGCUGAAUCAUCACACGAGACUUGACGACUUCAUUGAAAUAAUCGCAAUUAUUGCGUAAGAUAAAUAUUCCCUGUUGUUUCCAAUUAAGAGUUCCUCAUGGGCCAUUUUGGGGGUACUGUCUGCCCUCGUGAAAGAUUCUAGACAAUUCAAACAACGUGAAAAGCGACUUUUAAAAGUUGAAACUGUAAAUUUACCAUCAUAUACAAACACCUACACUCUACAGUACUAAAAAUUUCUAUUUCGUGGUGUGGAGACUCUCAAACGCGGGAGGGGGGCAGUACCGCAAGAAUGGCGGAAAAAUUGGCCGUGAUAAAGGUUAAUUCACAUCCAUUCGCUGUUGAUAAUUUACAUCAAUAAUUUACAACCCAUUAGCUUGUCUAGCUCAGACCAACUCUAUGUUAAUUUUAUCUCAAACUUGGGGUCCGGUGUAUAGGUAGUAUUCUUCAAUGAUUAUGAGCUGUCUUAGUUUGUGUCUGAACUACCUAAAAAGAUAUCCAAACGUGGCGGUCUAUUGUAGCCGGUAGUAUUUUACAAUAAGCUGCAGUAUAGUGUGUGUCUGUAGUGCCUGAAAAAGACAUCUGAAACAUGGGGGUCCAGUGUCUGUAUAGUAUUCUUCAAUGAGCUGCCGUUGUUUGAGUCUGAUCUACCUGAAAAUACAUAGUCUUUCCUGCCACAUAGCAAAUGUAUAUUUGUCUUUGAAAUGAUUUAUUGAAAGAAGUCUUCAAAUCUCGCCUACUCAAAGGAGGAAGGAAGUCAUAUAGAAUAUUGUCUCUUAAGAAACGCUUCGAGCAAUAAAACGGGGGGGGGGAUUACACAUAAAAAUCACAAGAAUACAUUAAUAAGGAACAAAUUACUAGUGAUAGCCUACUUCAAAUUAGUUUAUUUUGCUAUAUUUCGCAACCCGUAAUUCUAAGUAUAUAAAAUAUCUCUCACCAAUUUUAUUCGCCGAAGCAAGGAAAGAUAAUUUCAAGCAGUUCGUAAUGACAUAUCGUAAUAAAACCUAAUUUCUAAUUGUAAAAUUGUUAAAAUCUGAUUAAAAACUAAAAGACUCGAAGUAUGGCAUAAAUGGCAAAAAUGUUGUGGACACUUAAUUUUUAGGGUAGCCUCGCAGUGCCUCGGAAGAGUGCUUUCCAUUGGUUCGACUUGACAAUUGCUUUUGUGUUCAGAACAAUGACAUUGCUUCGUUCUUUAGAAAACCUCCAUCCAAUUGGAGACGACCUUCCGUGGCACUGCGAGGCUCCCCAAUUUUUAAGGCCAUGUUACACGGUGCAAUUUUUCUUGCAACUUUCAAUGCAAUUCUACUCUUGAGAGAUGUUAAUUAGUGAAAUCAGUGAAGAACUUUCGAUAUGUUGAGAAAACAUCCCAGGUGAUCUCAUGUUCGUAUUUUAGCCAAUCAGCGCUCAGAAAGGGCUGUCCGAAUAGAAAUCCAUUUUGAUGUAUUCAGUCAAUUAUAUCUUUCGUUAUUCUUUAUGAAACUAGUUGAAAUUUUGUAAUUAUAUUUGGUUAUGAGAACUAUAGCUCUGACAAAAAUAUGGAAUCGAAAUAAAGUAUAUUGCAGGAGAUAUUCAGUUGUUUUAAUCAUAAAAUGGAUUUCUAUUUGACAACUAGUGCCAGUACUUUUCCGCGUAUCAAGAUCACCUGGUCAGCGGAGUGUAAUGAAGACUCGUAUUUGGCAAUUUUACAUCUCUCAAGAGUAGAAUUGCAUUGCAAGUUGCAAGAAAAAUUCCACCGUGUACCCACAGUCAGUUAUUUUAAUAGAUGGUUUGGAGACUCGUAUAAAGUACAAUAUAACUCAUUACCUCCGCCAGGAGGUUAUGUAAUCAUCUGGGUUUGUAUGUGUGUGUGUGUGUAUGUGUAUGUGUGUGUGUGUGUGUGUGUGUUUGUCUGUGAGCACGAUAACUCAAGAAAUACCAAACAUAUCCGUACGAAAUUUUUUGAAUGCAUUUCCCAUCGACUAAGGAAGAACUGAUUAAAAUUUGGUUGAAUUUGGUUAAAAAUUGAACGAGAAAUGAACAAAAUUUUGUCUUGCUUU